rnacentral:misc_RNA from 1 species
AGUCUCCAGGAACAGGAUUCUCAGGUCUUUGAUAGCCACCAUCUUUCUCAAAACUUUCAUCCAAUAAUUCAGGAUGAAAGCACUUCGGUUGCCCACCAGAUACAUAAAGAGGAUCACCAAUUAGUGGAUAUCCUAUGAAAGAGAGGUGGAUGCGGAUUUGGUGUGGCCUUCCAGAUUGAAUUUCAACCUGAACCAAUGUGCAGUUACUCUCUGAAUCUCUUUCAAGAACGCGAACACUGCUCAAAGCUGGCUUCCCUGAAG